rnacentral:rRNA from 1 species
GCUUGCUGGGUACUCGAGUGGCGAACGGGUGAGUAACACGUGGGUGAUCUGCCCUGAACUCUGGGAUAAGCCUGGGAAACUGGGUCUAAUACCGGAUAUGACCUUGGAGUGCAUGCUCUUUGGUGGAAAGCUUUUGCGGUUCAGGAUGGGCCCGCGGCCUAUCAGCUUGUUGGUGGGGUAAUGGCCUACCAAGGCGACGACGGGUAGCCGACCUGAGAGGGUGAUCGGCCACACUGGGACUGAGACACGGCCCAGACUCCUACGGGAGGCAGCAGUGGGGAAUAUUGCACAAUGGGCGCAAGCCUGAUGCAGCGACGCCGCGUGAGGGAUGACGGCCUUCGGGUUGUAAACCUCUUUCACCAGGGACGAAGCGUGAGUGACGGUACCUGGAGAAGAAGCACCGGCCAACUACGUGCCAGCAGCCGCGGUAAUACGUAGGGUGCGAGCGUUGUCCGGAAUUACUGGGCGUAAAGAGCUCGUAGGCGGUUUGUCGCGUCGUCUGUGAAAUUCUGCAACUCAAUUGUAGGCGUGCAGGCGAUACGGGCAGACUUGAGUACUACA